CCAAAAUGGUGGAUUUGAAGUUAAAUUUCCUGUCUAGCCAAACACCCAGUAAAUGGAACAUUCUCUCCUCUCUAUGAGACAGAUGCCACUCUGCUGUACUUGCCAGUCAACAGGCCGCUGCUGUAGCUGUGAUAAAUCCUUUUCCACCAGGACCAACCAAGUAGAGCAGAUAAUUUUUUUAAAUUAAAAUGAAAUAAAAAUUAGUAUUAAAACCAUAAACCGGAUACUUUUAGGACGCGCAUAUAAGGCUAAAGCAAAUAUCGAACGAUAAUGCUUACAACUAUUACAUAAAAACAAUGAAUAUCUUUGAAUGAACUUCAGCAUAACCUCUAUCAUUGAAAUAAAAAUAUUAUUCUUCAUUACGUUAAAAUAAAUUCAUGCUUAUCUACUUUUAAAAGAAGUAUUGUUAAUAAUUUAAUUUUUAUUAAUGCUAAUUUUGUACUAAUAUAUUUUCUUAUGUGUAUAUACGUUUGUAAGUUACUAUGUUUUCUAUCGUUCAUUUUUAGUUUUCAUAUUCGAUUCAACAUGCAAUUUUAUCCAUUACAUUUGUAAUUGAUUUUCAUUUAAUAUUAUAGCGAAUAUAUUAAAUUAGAUUUCGAAUAUAACUGUA
rnacentral:sRNA from 1 species